GGGAUUGCCUCAGUAACGGCGAGUGAAGCGGCAACAGCUCAAAUUUGAAAUCUGGCCCCUUCGGGGUCCGAGUUGUAAUUUGUAGAGAGUGUUUCGGGCGAGUCCACGGUCUAAGUCCAUUGGAACAUGGCGUCAUAGAGGGUGAGAAUCCCGUAUGUGACUGUGGAUCGAGCCCAUGUGAAGCCUCUUCGACGAGUCGAGUUGUUUGGGAAUGCAGCUCAAAAUGGGUGGUAAAUUUCAUCUAAAGCUAAAUACUGGCUGGAGACCGAUAGCGCACAAGUAGAGUGAUCGAAAGAUGAAAAGCACUUUGGAAAGAGAGUCAAACAGUACGUGAAAUUGUUGAAAGGGAAGCGCUUGCAACCAGACCUGCCCGUAGGUGAUCAGCCGCUGUUCUCAGCGGUGCACUCGCUCUGCGAUCAGGCCAGCAUCGGUUCGGGCGGCCGGAUAAAGGCCUUGGGAAUGUAGCUCCCUCCGGGGAGUCUUAUAGCCCUCGGUGCAAUGCGGCCAGCCGGGACCGAGGACCGCGCUUCGGCUAGGAUGCUGGCGUAAUGGUUGU
rnacentral:rRNA from 1 species